CAACAACAUUAAACCACCCGAC
rnacentral:miRNA from 12 species